rnacentral:rRNA from 1 species
AGGUUACUGCUAUCGGUGUUCGCCUAAGCCAUGCGAGUCAUAUGUUCUUCGUGAACAUGGCGUACUGCUCAGUAACACGUGGAUAACCUGCCCUUGGGUCCGGCAUAACCCCGGGAAACUGGGGAUAAUUCCGGAUAACGCACAUAUGCUGGAAUGCUUUAUGCGUCAAAUGGAUUCGUCCGCCCAAGGAUGGGCCUGCGGCCUAUCAGGUAGUAGUGGGUGUAAUGUUCCUACUAGCCUACGACGGGUACGGGUUGUGAGAGCAAGAGCCCGGAGAUGGAUUCUGAGACAUGAAUCCAGGCCCUACGGGGCGCAGCAGGCGCGAAAACUUUACAAUGCGGGAAACCGUGAUAAGGGGACACCGAGUGCCAGCAUCAUAUGCUGGCUGUCCGGGUGUGUAGAAUACACCUGUUAGCAAGGGCCGGGCAAGACCGGUGCCAGCCGCCGCGGUAACACCGGCGGCCCGAGUGGUGAUCGUGAUUAUUGGGUCUAAAGGGUCCGUAGCCGGUUUGGUCAGUCCUCCGGGAAAUCUGACGGCUUAACCGUUAGGCUUUCGGGGGAUACUGCCAGACUUGGAACCGGGAGAGGUAAGAGGUACUACAGGGGUAGGAGUGAAAUCUUGUAAUCCCUGUGGGACCACCUGUGGCGAAGGCGUCUUACCAGAACGGGUUCGACGGUGAAGGACGAAAGCUGGGGGCACGAACCGGAUUAGAUACCCGGGUAGUCCCAGCCGUAAACGAUGCUCGCUAGGUGUCAGGCAUGGCGCGACCGUGUCUGGUGCCGCAGGGAAGCCGUGAAGCGAGCCACCUGGGAAGUACGGCCGCAAGGCUGAAACUUAA